UUAUAAUAUUGAAAAUAUAUUAAAUUUUUUAAUAAAUAAAAAUUAUAGUAAGUAUUAAAAAGAAACAAGAGAUAGAAUUAUAACUUCCAAAUAUUACAAAUAAAAAAGAAUUGUACUGUGAAUUCACAAUUCUUCCAUUCUCUAUCUUCUCUCCACUUUAAAAGAUCCUUCCAAGAGUUUUACAUCUGACAAACCAAAUAUUUACUUUGUCUCAACGAUUUCAAUUUACAGAAUGAAGAAGUCAGAACCAUUGGAACUCGUAGAGCUACCAGCUUGAGAUGCCAGAUAUUUGAAAACGUUAAAGAUCCAAAUGUGAGUCGCGCUUGGGUCUAUUGGUAGAUCGCAAUAAUUGGAAUCGGCAUUAGGAUUCGACAGGCUAAUAGCUCGGCCGCCGAGAUACGAGCUGCAAUACGGUUUAUUGGCACAAGGGCGAACAGCACCGUUCAUAUCGAGUUUCUGCAACACCGGCGACGAUAUUUGUAGUCGAGUCAGCUGCGCCUCUCGAAUAACUCCUGUCCCAUGUGUUCCGCGCGCGAACACGCGCGCCAGCUAUGCACGAUGACGAACGUGCAAUCAUUUUAAUAGAAAUGAUACGUGUGAUCGAUGAUCAAGAUAUGACGAGUGUCGUGGGAAUCGAUUGGAACAUUAAAUGAAUAUUUUGAGAGAAAGAAUGAUUUGAAAUAAGAUAAUUAAGAUCCAAAAAAAAAAGGAAAGUAAGAUCAUUAUGAUGAGAGUUCAAAAUUUUUCUAAAAUUUAAACAUUGUAAGUAAUAUUGAUGUAAAGAUCAUUGAAAAUAAUCAAAGUUAUUGAAUAAUUUUUUUUUUCUUUUUCAGGUAUUUAAAGGUAUUUCUUUUCAUUCCCUCAUCAUCAAAUACAAUUCAAUUUAUUAUAAUUAAUUUUCUCUAAAAUUUAACCACUUUCAAUUACAUCAAGAAUUCAAUCAUCAAUUGUCCGCAAACUAUUUCCAUUGUCAUUCUCUUUGUCGACAUCUGUUCAAGAAAAUCUCAUAUCUUGGAACGUGUUUUUCGCUAACCGCAGGUAGAUUAGAUAUCGGUUCGUACGAGGCUGUUGAACCGUGGCUCGCUCGUUCUCCACUGUCUCUCUGCUAUAUUAUGCAAAUGCACAUAGCAACGUUGCAGCCAGGCAAGUGGUUAAUAAUACAUCUGUGAGUAAUAGGCCACGCUAGUUUCCGUUUACCUGGUUGGCCAAGAUUAAGGGCUUUCAGGCCGAGGACACGCUCGAUAGAUUCGGGCUUUCUUCGAGAGAGGAAGUCGCCAGCCAUGCCCCUCCCCCCCCUCCUUGCCGCCUACGUUUGAUUAUGGAUCAUGAUUGAAAUCGGAGUCGAGAUUGCGACUACAAAUUUACAAGUGCACACCGGAUAAUUUGGAUAACGAGGCUCAAGUUGAAUUGGAAUUGAUAUUGGUAGGAAUAUUCGAAGCUCUUAAGUUCGUUGUUUUCGUAUGAAGUUUGAUUGGGAAUAAUUCAAUUUUAUUUAAAGAAAGAAAAAAGGGAGAAAAAAAUUGGAAACAAGAAAAGAAUUAAAUCCGCAGAGACUAGCAAGGUGUUUACGAUUCUUAAAAGAGUUUAUUGUUCAAAGAUUUUAUGGGAGAAUUUAUACCUGAAAUUUAAUGCUCCUCACUAACGAGUGAUUCUAAUAAUGUUUCCUUUUAUUACUUCCGCGCGCUAUUUUUAAGUAUGCGCUCAGAUCUUGGAUAGUAAACCACUUCCUCCGCCCCAUAUCUCUACUCCAAUAACCGUAAAUUUUGAUUGUCUUUGCGUGACAGAUACUUCACUAGGCUAUUCUCUCACGUGGAAAAUCAUCCGCGUUUUGCAAGCUCGUCGCGUCCACGAGAUCUAAUGGUAAAAUAUCUGAAUCAUUAUUUUUCUCGUGUUGAAAAAUUGACAUCAAAAAGGGUUAAGAAAAUUCAACGAAACAGAAUCUACUCUGGCUAUGAUUGAAUAUAAAAUUCAAAAAUAAUUUUUGAAAUUUUUCUACGUCAACGAAGAUUGACAUGUCCAAAAGAUCCAAGAAAAUAAAAAUUUAUUUUAUAUACAUACAUUUAAAUUUUCUGAGAAAUAAUUUUUGAAAUUUCCUUUAUCAAUCUAGGUGGCUCGAGAGUUAAAAAAGAAUUCAGGAAAAUAUUCCAUAGAGAGAGAAAAGUAAAUAAGAAACUGGUUGGAAUACAUCAAACAAAAUACAGCAUCCCAGUGGCACGAUAUAAAAUUUCCAACGUGGUCAGGAUUGAUGAUCCGGCAAUAUGUCUCUCGUGAAACACGAGGCACCGUGUUUCCACGAGCUACGUUUCCAGAGUAAGUGGUCGAGAUGAAAGCUGGGCAAAGGCGUCAGGUGCGAUCAACCGUUUUCAAUAAGUUAUACCAGACCGUCCAUCCCCCAUCGAUCCUUGAGAUCAUCGUGUCAGCACGAGGAUCGCUUUCGAUUUUUGCGUGCUGGAUUUUGUAAAGAUAUAUCUUGUUUGAAUUUGCUAUUGGAAAUGCUUCUGAGAAUUUUAUCGAUAGCCUUUGAUGUUAAAUCAGUGUGAAAUUUUUAAGAAUUUUUUAUUAGCUUUGAUAUUGGGAAUUUCUGAAAAAUGAAAAAUUUCUAAAAAUUGGAAGAUUCAACUUAAUUUUGAUACUUGAAACGUAUCGAAAAUAUUUUCAAUAAUUCUAAAAAUUGAGAUUUUUUCUGUGUGGAAAUAUUUCUAAAUUAUGGUAAUCUUUACAAGUUAAUUUUUAUUAUCGCGUUAAUCUUAUCAAAAGAUUUUGAAAAAUCUAUGACUAGCCACGCGUGAACAAAUGUCGUAAACAUAGAAAACACUGUACCGAUUCUAUCGUCAACAGCGAUAAAUCAAUAUUUCAUAUCGAUAACUGUAACGAUACUUUGUGGAUGGCCUUGCUGUAAAAUUCGAAAGCAAUUUAAUAGCAAUUAAAACAAACGAGGAAUGAACGGUUGAAUAAUUUAACGAGUGAUAAAACGUUUGUUAAGGCCAAUUAUCGAUGUACAUUAACACAUACCGAUGAUCGUGCAACAUACAAACCAGUGAAUAGAUUAACAGGAAGCCAUUGACAACAAAGUUUCCUUUUGACAAACAAUGAUCUCACUUCGCUAUCGCUCGAAGAAAUUCAAUAGAUGAUUUCACCUAAACGAUAAUAUUGUAAUGUGAAGCAUAAGUAGAAACAAUGACAAUUGAUAGAUGGAUAUGAAUGCUUAGAAGUUGAAAUUAAGUAUGAAAUUAAAAGUUAAAUGAUACUAAGAAUUUUUAGCAUAUAGAAGUAAAAACUAUUUGAGUAAUUUGACUGAUUGCAUGUAGACAAAAACAAUAUAAAGUAUACUUUGACAAUGGAUAAUUGGAUAUAUAACUUUAGAAAUUGAAGUCAAAGUUAAAUAUCAAAAUUUUUUAUAUAUAAAUAAUUUGAUUAUUUAUAAUUGAAUACAAUAAGUUACAUUUUUUGAAAACUUGAUAGAUUAAUAUGUUAAUAAAAGCCACAAUAACUUUGAGAUAUUAAAAAAGAGUAUAACUCAAAAGAAGGUUGAGAGACACUGAUCUCUCAACUCUGAUCCAAGAGUAAAGUCAAUUUCGAAACAAUAUCUUCUGUUCUCAGUAGAAACCUGGCAUCAAGCACGAAGACAAACCUAAAUUUCACCAUUGCUAACUUGAACAAACGGCAACAUACGUUAAUACUCUGAGGACACAAAGCGAUAUCAAAGUCUGAAAGCCGAGCAUUGCUGUAUCACAAAGUAGAAUCUUCUGACUUGUCAACUACAGAUUGAGUGCUGUACAUUCCGGUUGACUUCUAAAGGACUGGCAUACAAUCGCUGGAAGUGGAUACUGUAUUCAGCCAGACGGCUGUCAUCCAGCUGUACCCUGGCGAUUAGCUCCAAUCACAAGAAGAAUCAUUCUCCAUCAUUUUUAUCAGUGAAAAAUCAAAAUCCCUAGAGGAUUCCUAGAUAAAUUUUUCCAAACAAACAACUUACGAUCUUUGAAUCACACAACUUUUGAAGAUUACUGCAUGCACAUAGGGAGGCUGUGCUAACUGUAGCGGUGCUCAAGGACUGGCGGAGAUCCGUGAAUCGUAACGGAUCGAAGGUCUUGGCCGGAAUUUAUUUUUUCGUUCGAUUUUACGUGAAGUAUGUGAACAUAGACAGCAAGUUUUACGAUUUCUUUCCUUCUUUUUUAUUUCUCCUAUUAUCGUGAUUUUUAUUUAUAAUAUCAUUGAACAUGAUUUUUCAACUAAAGAUUAAUACUAAUUCUUUAGUUACAAUUGAUAAUUGAUUACUGGAUAAUUAUAAUAUAAAUAAAUUGAUCAUCAGUAACAAAACCAUUACUGAUAUUGUAUAAUAAUUAAAUUACAACUCAAUUACUUAUUUUCCAUAUACUGUAUCUUUUAUAAGGAUUAAUAAUGGAUGCAACGUGUUUAAAAAUUUGCAACUCUAUGCAUUUCAAAAGUUUAGGGAGCGACGAACGGCAACAAACGAGCCAUUUUGGGGGGUCAAAGUUAUUCACGCCGGUGUGUAGCUGCGGCCAAACAGCGGUGGAGCUAAGAAGUAACAGCGGUGGAGGUUUAAUCUGGCCGAUGCCAGAUUCGUGGUAAAUCUUUGAUGACUUUGCGGCGAACGGUGCUGCCACGGCCAACCUAUAUUUGCCUUCGUAAUUCAUGGAAGCGGAUAAUAUCUCGUAUUAUCGCGUUAAUUAGUCACUCUUUAACCCUACACAUUAAUUUAGGAUAUAUAUUUUAUACCCUAGGAAAAUGUAAAUUAUGGAACGUUCCGUUAAUAAUAAUGGAAAUUUGAAGAAGAAAAGUUAAGAAAGCUAAGAAAAUAGUUACAAUACAAAGGAUUGAUAUAAGAUAUAUUUGAAUAAUGUGAUAUUUUGAAUAUAUCAGAUAUAUAACAUUUGUACUCCUAAAUAGACUUUUACUGAUUCACAAUACACAUUUCUUAUUCUUAUUCUUUAUAUUAUUAAGAUAAAGCAAGGUUAUAUCGAAUAAUUAAUAAUGUUAACAUCAAAGAUUGAAAAGAAGAGGUUCAAAAGAAACGUGAAAAUCAACUUUACGCUCGAUCACGAAAAAUAUCUUCCUCAACUCGAAGCAAAAAUACUAAGAAUCUCUUUCUUUCUUUCCAGGAAAGUGUAUUCAAGUAUUCUCAAGGAAUCUCGUAUGAUUUACGAUGAGAGAGAGAGAGAGAGAGUUGCCUACGAAACGGCGAGGAAAAUUAUUUUCGUAUCCGUCCCACUUUCAAGAACCAGUCAGCGAUUUACACUCCUGAUACGUCGAUUCCGUGGCCCUUGUGCGACAAUGUACAACAUCCCUCCAUACCUUAAAAAUGAAAGCAACAAAAAUGCAUUCCGCCGAGGCGGAAUGCGCGCACGUCGCACAGGAAACGGAGACACCGAUUUCUCCUUUAUUUCUGCUUCGUGGUGAUAUGUCUCGACAGAAAUAUCCCUUGUUCGUGAGCUUUGAUAUUCGUAGGUGGACGUAUACGUAUGUAUCGUUUCGAGUAUCGAGAUCUUUUUCUUUGUCAAGAAGUUGUGCAUCUCUUUUUUGAAGAUCUUGAAUUUGGUUAGGUAUAUAUACAAUUUCGAGUAUAUAAGAUCUCUUUCUUUCGUAAGUAGUUGUACUUUCUUUUGUUGAAGAUCUUGAAUUUGGUUAUACUUAGAAUAUCUAUAAUCUUUUUUUUUUCUUUUAUGUUUGUCUCUUUUUCAGAUUUUAGGUUAUGUGAAUAUUUUAGGUAUUUAAGAUUUUAGGUUAAGUGAAUUUCUUUCUUAAAGAUUUUUUUUUCAGUUUCAGGAAUUAAUGUGAACAUGUAACCGAACACUAAUGUAUUCUUAUGAUUACUGAUAUAUUAUUUAUCUCCCUAUGGAUAAAAUUUGGGGACAGAAUAGAUCCAACGUAAUCCUUGCAUGUUAUAAAAGACAACUAAAAGGGAAGUCAUUAAUGAGUAAUGCUUGACAAAUUUAUGGAGUAUGCAAUUAUGGUGUAUCCGACAAAGAUCAAUAAAUAAUUCAAAGUGUGGAAGAACGAAAAGGAUUCAUCGAUAUCCCUGGCAAUUGUGUCAGAAUUCGACGAUACACACACGUUAGCAAACAAAAUGGCGACAAGCCGAACUGAUUUUAUUCACGACCUUUGUCGCGGAAGUACUUUAGAUGCGGGUGGUGGGCCGCAGAGGAAAAAUAGCGGAAAGUUUUCCAUUUUAGAUGGGCCACCGAUAAAGGAAAGAGAGGCACGUAUAAUGGGACGUGUCUUCUCUACGAUUCCGCCUCAAGAACGAUCUGCUUGCACUUCUAUCUAUAAUUCAUCCUCAGAAAUCAUCCUCGUACAUUCAGACUUAUUUCAUUAUUUUUUUUCUAUUUAUUUCAAUUUUCUUUCUACCAUAAUAAAUGCAACAGAGAAAAGAAUUAGGUACAAAUAAUAUAUGAUUGAUAAUUUAGAGAAUACAAAUUUCUAGAAGAAAGAUUAGAAUACAAAUUUCUGUAUAACUGGGAGCAAUGUUUUGAUUAUUAUUGGCUUAUUUGUGGGACGAACAGUAAUCAGAAUGGUUGAUUAAGUCUUUAAAUGGAUUCAAUUGUUAUUUGAUUGAGAAAUAUAAACAAUAUAUAGCUACCUAAUAUAGUCAUAAUUGUGUAUUCAUUCUCUUUGUAGGAAGCAAUGUUGUACACAUCUUCAAAAAGAGGAAAGCAGAAUUAAAUCAUUAACAUAAUAUUAGCUGUAAAACACUUUACAGUUCUUGGCUUUCGUUAUUAUGAAGACACAGUUCAAAAGAUAAAUUCUAUGGUUUAAACCAUAAUGCAGAUAAACUGAAACUAAAUCAUCAAGUUAUUUUAAUAAGUUUGACCUCCAUAACUGAACUUCUAUAUGCAUUAAUUCAUAAUCCAUAAUUUUAUUGAGAGCAAUUAAUAUGAUCAAUAAAAAAAAAAAGGUAAGUUCUGAAAUUUUCGAAAGCUUUCAUUUAACAUGUUAUUUUCACAGAUAUCGUCCCUUGUUUAUCAACUUGUUGUUCAACUUUUAUAAAUAAAGUUUUUUCGUGUCUCCAAAAAUAGCAGAGGCAAUUAAGCUCUCGUGCGUUUCCACACAAAACGUCCCACGUUCGAGGGUCCAUAGUCUUCGAAGAAUUAUUUACGAGGAUGCAGUGAACGAGAACGUAAUAAACAUCGAAGCCGAUUACGGAACAGAAGUCGAAGGCGCGCCAAUGGAUGACGUUUCCUAGUCGAAACAAUGGAACUAUUUCGUGGAAGGCUGUACCUAGGAGAUUAGCGGAAAGAGGGUGUCGAUGGAAUUGGUCAGUCGAGUGGAACGUUUCCUGGGAUGAUUUUCCAUGAGAAUUAUGGGCACGGUUUCCAUGGAAAUUUAUAAUUAAUUUUUGUAAAAAAAAUUAGAUAUUUUAGAAUAUUGUAAUUGUGAUUUUGAAUCAAUUUUUUUUAAAUAACUUUUAAUAUUUUAGGAUUGAACUGUAUUAUAAUUUUAAUGCUGAGAUGAAUUUUCACAAGAAUUUUCAAUAUUUUGUAAUAUUAAAAUAUCCAUCUAUUCAAUAUUCACACAAAGCCAAAUAAUAUUCCAAUAGCCAUACAAUCUUUCCAUUUCUAUAAAUUUCCAAUAUUUAAAUUUUACAAUAAAUAUAUACAUCCAUCCAUCUAGCAUAGUACAAUAUUUCUCCAAAAAUCUUAAUUUCCCUAUGUUUAGUUAUGAAAUCUUUUUACCGAUCAUCGGUAACCGAUCAACAAGAAAGAUAUUUUCACUAUUAAAAAGUUAGACAGAAUCUUAUAACUUUUUGAACGCAGGUUUUUCACGAUCUUGAAACGAAAGUAAAUAUCAUGUAUAUUUACGAUCAUAGCAUGAGAAAAAAAAGAGAUAUAUGUAUAUUUUAUACAAUAGAUUGGCAUAUCGAUAUUCCGGAACGACACAGAUCUACAUGAACGAAUUGGGAGCUGAUUAUUGAUUCUUUUUCUCGUAUAUUUCACUAUAUUCCUUCGUCAACGAUUACAUACUAAUAUUCUGUUUGAAUGUUUAUUCAAAUGUGAUUUUUUCUAAUUGGCAUUCUUUAUGGAGAAAGAAUUUAUAUGCAAUUAUGAGAAUAUA
rnacentral:lncRNA from 1 species